rnacentral:lncRNA from 1 species
GCAGGUCCCAUCUCCUGGGGAAGGCCCUGCCUGCCAGCCUCUGCACCCAUGCCGGCCCACUCACCUGCCUGUUCUCCCACGGGGAAGAAACAUCAGUGUAGGGAGAAACUCUGGGUCACCAGGACCCAGCUGGCUCAAGUGAGGUCCCACCAGCCCCCGCUGGCUCCUGCUCACCCAUCCUUUGCUGUCACCCCCAUCAAUUCCUACCCUUUGCUCAGACCCAGCAGGGUCCAGCUGCCCCGGUGGGAUCAGAAACCACCCUGGCCCAGCUGCUGGGGCUAAGAUGUCUCACCAGGCGCC